rnacentral:rRNA from 1 species
GGAUGCGAUCAUACCAGCACUAAAGCAUCGGAUCCCAUCGGAACACCGAAGUUAAGCAUGCUUGGGCGAGAGUAGUACUAGGAUGGGUGACCUCCUGGGAAGUCCUUGUGUUGCAUUCC